ensembl:misc_RNA 7SK 7SK RNA
GGGUUCGAGGAAGAUCUGGCUGUGACAUCUGUCACCCCAUUGAUUGCUAUGGUUGAUUCAGCUGAUCUGGCUGGCUAGGCAGGUGUACCCUUCCUCCCUUAUCACUCCAUGGACAUGACUCCUGAAGCUACAUGCUCCCUCAAAGAGGAUGGAGGACUGCUGUUCAGUCAAGGGUAUAAUUGCACUCCCCUGCUAGAACCUCCAAACAAGCUCUCAAAGAGAACAUAGAGUAGCCAAGCCUCCAAGACUCCAGGCGAAUCCAAAUGAAGUGCUGCAUGUGUCUCCCUGUCUUUCUUU